ensembl:lncRNA
GUUUAAAUCCAAAACGCUCCCUCCCUAAUGAGAUCAUGGAUGGAGUGAGACCUUACAGCUUUCAGCAGAAGCAGAAAUCUGAAAUAACAGCCCCGCAACACGCAGCUCCCUCCGAAAUUCCGAAUCAUUCCAACAGGUCCUUCCUCCCCGAGCAAAGGACGCCGGCGCCUUGUUUGCUUCAGCCAAGGGCAAAGGCGGUGGCCGUGGAGCAAGAGCUUCAGUGGAAAGUCACCAGCUUCCAGGUCACCGGUGACCCUUCACUCAUUUAUAGGUUCACUUGGCAACAACUUUUUUGAGCACUGAGUGCAGGCAGGAUCUGCAAAACCAGACCCAGUUCUAUCCCGAUGGAGCGCAGGACGCACACUCACUUCGAGUUUGGACAGCCUGCUGGCGAGCAUCCUCCGUCCUGAGGAAACACCACUUCCAGCUGCGUGGAGCACGAGCGUGGAGAUGUGACCCAAUCGAAGGGGUCCGAAAAGACGUCUCUGAGGAGGUGAUGAUUCAACUGAAAGGUGAAGGAAGGAGCAGGCGGUGUGCGAGGACGAGAAAGGAACAGCCGUCGGCCCGGGGAAACCGACGCGACCACGAAGUGCCAACUUCCUCCAGGAUGACAGCAGGACACAGCAAGGAGGUAAAACCUAAGUGUGCUCUGGAAGGUUCGCUCCUGAGCUGCGUCUGGCUCCCCCUCCAUCGUCAUCAGGCUCCGGUCACAGCUCUGUCGGACGGCACAUCUGGGUCUCGCUUUGGCUACCACCGAGUGUCGGGGGCCAGGCAAAGCUCUCCACGGCGCUGUGCCUCAGUUUCCAGCAGGGAAACGAGCUUAUUAGCAUUGUGACGACUCCAAGCCCCGUGGAAAUUCUCUCCUCUCCCGAACCGGCGAGUCCGGGUCCAGAGUGGACGGAAGGACCCUCCGACGAGGACACGGCAGUUGUGGUUGACAGGGAGGCUCGGCCUCCCCGGGUCCCAGGGCUGCCCUGCUCGGGGCCGUGACCCCCCCACCCGGGGAGUCUCUGCUGGCCGGGGCCUCCUGCUCCGGGAACCAGCCUGCCCUCUGGCCUCGCCCGCAGGAAAGGAGCUCUACUCGCCUUCCCUGCUUCUAUUUUGAUUUUUUUAAUUGUCUCACGUAUCAACCCAGCAGGUUACAACCUGUGUUACCUAAUCUGUAUUGGAUACAAUCCAAACGGGAAGGCAGAUGAUCCAGGCCGUACAAUGUACAACAGCUACGAUGGUGGAUUCUCUUUGAACUUCCAAGAUUUUCAUUCUAGGAUUUAUGUAAUCAUUCUUCCAAAACUGUCAAAAAAGCAUCGCAUGUGAAAACGCCUUUGUAAACGCGUAAGGAUAUGCGCAAUUAUGAACUUUUUAGACUUGUGAGAGAUGCAAGAGAUAGAGCAAACCCAAUUUUCUGUCCUUAAGGACCUCACAAUUUGUUUAGCCUAUAAUGUAUAUUUCCCCUGAACUCAGACCAAAAUUUGAGCAUCAUCUGAAACCUGUGGGAAGAGGCCGGAUGAAGCUGGAGCAUUUCCAUCGCGGUUUUCUCAGUCUUCCCCCACAGUCAUCCCUGUCCCACCCCAAUGACUCGUUCAACUUGGGGUUCACUGCGAUCACGGGAGCCUUCUCCCCUGUCCUCGACUGCACUCGGCGUUGCAUCUGACCACUUGGAGAUGAUUUAAUUCCCAGCCCUGAGCUGCCUCUGGCAGCCUCUUUACACGACUUACAGCGCUAUUUCCUCAGUGUGUCACCGGGGAAAGAGGGACGUCCCAUCUGCGGGAUGGCCGGCAGCACGCCUUCCCUCCGAAGCCUCUUGACCGGCUGCUCAUAACACUUCCUCAGGGAGCCCCUGGGAACGUGGGACAGAGAGGAACCCAGCGAAGAGUCAGCCGGGCCCGGCCAGGGGCUCUGCCUCACGGCGGCACUGAACACUCCUCCACACGCUUGUGCCUAAACACAGCCCUCCGGAGCGGCGAGAGAGGGUGAGGCGUGCACGGCGGGGCAGCCAGCUGCAGCCGGCUUGAGCCAGAAACAGGGUCCGGGUGGAAAGGAUGAAUCGAUCCGAUUCAGGACACCCCCUCCUCAGCGGGAUCCAGGAGCAGGACAGUUACACAGGUGGCCGUAAAGUCCCAGGGGUGGGGUGGGGACCACAGACAGAGAGGGAAACGGAGGACUCUGGGAGACCCCUGUGAGUUAACAAUCACUCAGGAGAGCCGCCAGAACGUCCUGGAACGAAGCUUAACUGUAAAACCACAAAUAAAAGCCGGAGAUGUGCCUCGGUCACUAAGCGAAAGAUCAAGCGAAGCCAGACAAUGACCCUUGGGACCACGGACGGAGUUUAAGGGAAAGGGGGCCUUCCCGAGUGGGAGCUGGAGGCCGUCUUUCCCUCCCCACUCCCCUGGAGGAUAAAACAGCAGCCCACCUGCUCCUCGGGGCAGAGCCUCCUCGGCCUGCCGGCGUGCAUCGCUCAUAAGCGUCCUAUCCUAAUAAAUCUAUUUCUCGCCUAUCACUGCCUCUCGCCUCGUUCCUUGUGCGUGGAGGCAUAGAGAACCUGAACCUGUUAAGUCCAGACACCAGAUGAGCGAGUCUAGUUAAAAAACCCUGCACUCAAGUCCCCAUCUGGGUUUAGGUGGGGUUCCAGGCAGAAGUGUUUCAGUUUCAAGGACUCCUGUCCACCUUAACCACCAAGGCCUCUCUGGCCGCAGCAGGGGGAGGGAGAAACCUGAUCUCGCUCCCCACCCUGGAGAGAGUGCCUGGGGGGCCCAUCCCCUCAUCCACCUCCACGUCCGCCCCCUUCCCACCUCCAGGGCGGCCAGUGCCUGGCCCCCACUGGCCAGUGGAUCCCACAGCCUGGGAGGCACUAGGCAGUAACCACCUGUCAUCACCGAGGCCAGAAAAAAAUCAAAGGGGACACUGACUGGGGGCGAGAUGGUUGCAGGACAGACAUUUUCUGGAACUGGGUCCACUGAGCCUUAGUCACCCUCAGAAGCAAGGGUAUGUCACACAGAGGAAGGAGGGGGCGGGCCUCCACCCUCCCCUCUCUGUCCCCGCCUAGGAGUCAGCCACGGGGUAAGG